UACGUAGGUGGCAAGCGUUGUCCGGAAUUACUGGGCGUAAAGCGUACGUAGGCGGUUACUCAAGUCAGGGGUGAAAUCCCGGGGCUCAACCCCGGAACUGCCCUUGAAACUGGAAAGCUAGAAUCUUGGAGAGGCGAGUGGAAUUCCGAGUGUAGAGGUGAAAUUCGUAGAUAUUCGGAAGAACACCAGUGGCGAAGGCGACUCGCUGGACAAGUAUUGACGCUGAGGUGCGAAAGCGUGGGGAGCAAACAGG
rnacentral:rRNA from 1 species